rnacentral:rRNA from 1 species
UAGCGCGGUGGUCCCACCUGACCCCAUGCCGAACUCAGAAGUGAAACGCCGUAGCGCCGAUGGUAGUGUGGGGUCUCCCCAUGUGAGAGUAG